rnacentral:Y_RNA from 1 species
GGCUGGUCCAAUGGUAGUGGGUUAUCAGAACUUAUUAACAUUAGUGUCACUAAAGUUGGUAUUCAACCCCCCACUGCUAAAUUUGACUGGCUUAAA